GGGAGCUGCUCCUAGUACGAGAGGACCGGAGUGGACGUACCCCUGGUGUUCCGGUUGUCACGCCAGUGGCAUUGCCGGGUAGCUACGUACGGAACCGAUAACCGCUGAAAGCAUCUAAGCGGGAAGCGGCACCAAAGAUGAGUUCUCACUGGAACUUUAAGUUCCUUGUAGGUCCGUCGAAGACUACGACGUUGAUAGGCAGGGUGUUGAAGCACAGUAAUGUGUGAAGCUAACCUGUACUAAUUGACCGUAAGGCUUGACCAUAUAACCCCAAG
rnacentral:rRNA from 1 species